GCUUGUGAUGUGUGGUCCCUUCAAACAGAAAGGGUAGAGGAGUGACCCUGAAGGUGUGUGACCACUCACACACCACGCAAGACUUCUUGAGACUUCCGGGGUUUCCUUAGUGGCGACGGAGCAUAGGCACACAAGUUCUCAACUUCUACAGUGUCUUUCUGGUCACAACCAGAAUCUAGUGACUGAAAUCAGAAGAAUUUCACCUACUCCUAAGUGUGGGCAAGACCAGAAAAAAUGUAUAUCAAUCAUCAAGAGUCAAAAACUCGGCUUCAACAAUAUGUCGCGGGCUGGUGUGGAAGCCGACCCGUGUUUCCUCCCCCUUCCGAAUGCUGGGGAAGCAGCAAGGAGGUAUCAAGCAUUCUGCCUAAAACAUGUUUUCUCACCCCAGUGCUCUUGCCACUUCCAACGUCUUUAAAAAUAACAGCAAAAUGGCUCUGAAGUAGAUGGCAUUCAUGUGAGGGUUAUUUCUAGCUAUUCUGAGUCAUGGAAGAGGGAGGAAUUCAGAAAUCCUGAAUUUACUGUAUUUGCUGUAGAUUUGUUCAUCAGCUGUGGAUGGAUCCUCCUCAACACUCUAGGGACCGUGGCCCUUCAUAGAAUGAUGUCCUUAACCAUCUUCUAGAGUGUGGUCAAGAUUUAUCAGUUGCCAUCGAUCCCUGGAUCAGGAAGAUUCCUUGGAGAAGAGAAUGACUACCCACUCCUGUAUUCUUGCUUGGAGAAUUCCA
ensembl:lncRNA